AAGUCGUAACAAGGUUUCCGUAGGUGAACCUGCGGAAGGAUCAUUACCGAGAGCCCCCUCCCGUGCCGCAAGGUCGGGCGGUGGCCAUUCUCACACCCUUUUUUAUGCGCACCUUUUGUUCUUCCUCGGCGGGGCGACCCGCCGACGGAACACACCCAACCCUUUUGCAUGCAGUAUUACUUGUUCUGAUACCCUAAAUCGUUACAACUUUCAACAAUGGAUCUCUUGGCUCUGGCAUCGAUGAAGAACGCAGCGAAAUGCGAUAAGUAGUGUGAAUUGCAGAAUUCAGUGAAUCAUCGAAUCUUUGAACGCACAUUGCGCCCCUUGGUAUUCCAUGGGGCAUGCCUGUUCGAGCGUCAUCUACACCCUCAAGCACUGCUUGGUGAUGGGCGUCUGUCCCGCCUUCGCGCGCGGACUCGCCCCAAAGGCAUUGGCAGCGGUCCCGAUCGCCCUCUCGCGCAGCACAUUUGCGCUUCUCGAGGCGGCGGGUUCGCGUCCACGAAGCCCUUUUUACCACGUUUGACCUCGGAUCAGGUAGGGAUACCCGCUGAACUUAAGCAUAUCAAUAAGCGGAGGAAAAGAAACCAACAGGGAUUGCCCUAGUAACGGCGAGUGAAGCGGCAACAGCUCAAAUUUGAAAUCUGGCCCUCUUUGGGGGUCCGAGUUGUAAUUUGCAGAGGGUGCUUUGGCAUUGGCGGCGGUCUAAGUUCCUUGGAACAGGACAUCGCAGAGGGUGAGAAUCCCGUACGUGGGCGCCUGCCUUUGCCGUGUAAAGCCCCUUCGACGAGUCGAGUUGUUUGGGAAUGCAGCUCUAAAUGGGAGGUAAAUUUCUUCUAAAGCUAAAUACUGGCCAGAGACCGAUAGCGCACAAGUAGAGUGAUCGAAAGAUGAAAAGUACUUUGGAAAGAGAGUCAAAUAGCACGUGAAAUUGUUGAAAGGGAAGCGCUUGCAGCCAGACUUGCCCGCAGUUGCUCACCCAGGCUCUCGCCUGGGGCACUCUUCUGCGGGCAGGCCAGCAUCAGUUUGGGCGGUUGGAUAAAGGCCUCUGUCACGUAUCUUCCUUCGGGAUGACCUUAUAGGGGAGGCGCAAUGCAACCAGCCCGGACUGAGGUCCGCGCAUCUGCUAGGAUGCUGGCGUAAUGGCUGUAAGCGGCC
rnacentral:rRNA from 1 species